rnacentral:rRNA from 1 species
UACGUAGGGGGCAAGCGUUGUCCGGAAUUAUUGGGCGUAAAGAGCGUGUAGGCGGCCAGAUAAGUCCGCUGUGAAAUCUCGAGGCUCAACUUCGAGCUGUCGGUGGAAACUAUCUGGCUAGAGUCCGGAAGAGGAGAAUGGAAUUCCUGGUGUAGCGGUGAAUGACGCAGAUAUCAGGAAGAACACCCGUGGCGAAGGCGGUUCUCUGGGACGGUACUGACGCUGAGACGCGAAAGCGUGGGGGAGCGAAACAGGGAUUCA